rnacentral:rRNA from 1 species
AAGCCCUGGAAACGGGGUCUAAUACCCCCAUAACACCGGCUUCCGCAUGGGAGCUGGUUAAAAGCUCCGGCGGUGAAGGAUGAUUCCGCCCCCUAUCAGCUUGUUGGUGGGGUAAUGGCCUACCAAGGCGACGACGGGUAGCCGGCCUGAGAGGGCGACCGGCCACACUGGGACUGAGACACGGCCCAGACUCCUACGGGAGGCAGCAGUGGGGAAUAUUGCACAAUGGGCGAAAGCCUGAUGCAGCGACGCCGCGUGAGGGAUGACGGCCUUCGGGUUGUAAACCUCUUUCAGCAGGGAAGAAGCGAAAGUGACGGUACCUGCAGAAGAAGCGCCGGCUAACUACGUGCCAGCAGCCGCGGUAAUACGUAGGGCGCAAGCGUUGUCCGGAAUUAUUGGGCGUAAAGAGCUCGUAGGCGGCUUGUCACGUCGGGUGUGAAAGCCCGGGGCUUAACCCCGGGUCUGCAUCCGAUACGGGCAGGCUAGAGUGUGGUAGGGGA